rnacentral:rRNA from 1 species
AUUGAACGCUGGCGGAAUGCUUAACACAUGCAAGUCGAGCGAGCUGUAGCAAUACAGCUAGCGGCGGACGGGUGAGGAAUACAUAGGAAUCUGCCUCAGAGCGGGGGAUAGCCCGGGGAAACUCGUCGUAAUACCGCAUGAUGUCGCAAGACCAAAGUGGGGGACCGCAAGGCCCCACGCCUGAACUUAGGCCAUGUCGGAUUAGCGAGUUGGCGGGGUAAUGGCCCACCAAGGCGACGAUCAGUAGCUGGUCUGAGAGGACGAUCAGCCACACCGGAACUGAGACACGGUCCGGACUCCUACGGGAGGCAGCAGUGGGGAAUAUUGGACAAUGGGCGCAAGCCUGAUCCAGCAAUUCCGCGUGGGUGAAGAAGGCCUUCGGGUUGUAAAGCCCUUUAAGUUGGGACAAAAAAAUCGGCGAUAACAUCGCCGGUCUUGAUGGUACCGACAGAAUAAGCAACGGCUAACUCUGUGCCAGCAGCCGCGGUAA